GAUAUCAUCAGGAUUCAAUGCUUGAAGCACAUAUGGGCCAUUAUUUUGAUGUUCCAGAUAGUGGCAGAUCAUGUUACAAAGGCAGAAGCUUCAGUGUGAUUUUUGCUGAAGCUAAAAAAAUUUACAGUAUUAUCUAGUCUGGAAUGGAAUAUAUAUAGAACAUUAUUAAUAUUAUUACAGACAUUUGUCUCAAUUGAUCGACUUCCAAUCAAAGUUCAACAUGACUAGUGAAAAUUAAAACAAAACAAAACACUAAUGAAAGAAGAGAUUGAAAGAGAGAGUAAUGAAAAUUAAAACAAAACACUAAUGAAAAUUAAAACAAAACAUACCUUAGUUGAGAUUGAAUUGUUAAUCCCUAAACAGUAAUGGAAGAAGAGAUUGAAGGAGAGAGUGGUGGUGGUGGUGGAAAACUGGAAAUUGAGAUGGAGAAGAGACGAUGGAGAAGAGGAAUGAAGAAAGGAGGCG
rnacentral:lncRNA from 1 species